ensembl:snoRNA
CAUCAUUAUGAAAAUAGAUAAAUUUGUGCAUAAAAAACCUUCCAGUCUAUCUGAUGUGUAUCUCUGUAGUUCUGAGA